rnacentral:rRNA from 1 species
UACGUAGGGAGCGAGCGUUGUCCGGAUUUAUUGGGCGUAAAGAGCUCGUAGGCGGCUCGGUAAGUCGGGUGUGAAACCCCCAGGCUCAACCUGGGGACGCCACCCGAUACUGCUGUGGCUAGAGUCCAGUAGGGGAGUGUGGAAUUCCCCGGUGUAGCGGUGAAAUGCGCAGAUAUUAGGAGGAACACCGGUGGCGAAGGCGCCGCUCUGGGCCGAAACUGACGCUGAGGAGCGAAAGCAUGGGUAGCAAACAGG